CAGCAGCCGCGGGAACACGUAGGUGGCAAGCGUUGUCCGGAAUUAUUGGGCGUAAAGCGCGCGCAGGCGGAUCAGUUAGUCUGUCUUAAAAGUUCGGGGCUUAACCCCGUGAUGGGAUGGAAACUGCUGACCUAGAGUAUCGGAGAGGAAAGUGGAAUUCCUAGUGUAGCGGUGAAAUGCGUAGAUAUUAGGAAGAACACCAGUGGCGAAGGCGACUUUCUGGACGAAAACUGACGCUGAGGCGCGAAAGCCAGGGGAGCGAACAGGAUUAGAGACCCCUGUAGUCCCUGUCUCUUAUACA
rnacentral:rRNA from 1 species